ACCAGGAUGCCAUCAGGUCUCAUAAGGCUGGACGCCCAGUCAGACCUGGCUGAUCUCCCUGUACCACCAGGCUGUCCUCCACUGCAGGGCUCAGAGAGCAGCCAGCAGAACUUCAUGGGCGUCCUGGAGACGGCCAUGAAACUAGCCAAUCAGGACGCAGACGCAGAGGACGAGGACGGAACAGGGGAAUUGGCCAAGCCUGCAGUGGGAGCUCCAGUC